CAUAAACAUCUAUGUGGCAUUCAUGUGAUAGCUGGUUUUUCGUAGAAAGCCAACAAGCAAACAAAGGCGUUCGUUUUAUUAGUCGCGCCGCAAGCAGGCUGUGUCCCUCUACGCGAGAUAGACUUUUUUUAUUGGCUGCAUUUAGGCGGAGGUUUGCGCCUAUAGGUAACGCCGGCUACUCCGCUCCUGUGACAUGGUAGAUUUAAUUUGUUGAUAACGUCUCCAAUCAAUGUGCUCUCGUGCGUAUUCAAACCGCUAAAUGCCAAUAGCGGGAGAUCAAAAAUUGAGGAUAGCUGACAUUUUGUCUGAUUUCAACGGUGCACUACCGUAAAGCGGCAUUCUUCUCUUUUCUAUGCCUUCUGAUGGCGCUGUCAUCAUAAAAGAUAAGAGAGAUAGAUAAGCAAAUGAAUUGCAGCGAAGCUCGCCACACAUAACGCAUAAGUAUAACUGUCAUAAUUUUAGAUAUAGACACAUUUUCCCCUUUAGUAUGAUGGGGUGGCUCUCAUGUUAUGUAAGGUUUUGUGCUGUCUUGCAUUUCAUACCUUUCUUUUCCGACAAGCCUUUCCGGUGGCAGUUAGCACACAAUUCGGCACGUUGAGGAUAAGCUUAAUGGACGUCGAAACAAUUAAUCCAUUCAUUUUUUUUUCGAUUACAAGCGGGUCAUACUUCAUUGUCAGACGUGUACGUAUCUUAUCGUUUUCCGCUGCGCCUCCUCCGUUGUACCUCUAUUUGGUCAUUGUUCUAAGCUACGAUAGUCUUCCGGUGCACUAUCAGUGGUACGGUUGCAGCAGCCAGGCAUGAAGUUCGCGUGCUUUCGAACCGGCUUGCUGCUCACUCCUUUCUUGCUGCAAGCGAUGAGCGUCUGCUCGGCUUACAGUUGCCGCCAACCGCCAGGCGGUUGCCCACUGCCGACGCCCGAGAAAUCGGUCCGGCUAUUCUUCUUCGAUCCUGUGUGGCAAGGGUGCAUUGACAUUGAGACGAGUGGGUGCGGACCGUACGGCUGGCCGACGCUAUACCACUGCAAGUUUUUCUGCAAGCCCGUGCUAUGAACACGCGAUCAGCUCGGCUGCCGAAGCGUCGCAAGGAACGUUUGCAGCUCAUGGACUAGCAAGCGCUGUUAUUCUUCGCGGUGAAUGUGCCUGAGCAGGUGCUCGAAAAACGAGAAACUUCAUUAAAGUAUAUCGUUCGAACUUA